AUACGUAGGUGGCGAGCGUUGUCCGGAAUUAUUGGGCGUAAAGGGCGCGUAGGCGGGAUAGUCAGUCUGUUGUAAAAGUUCGGGGCUCAACCCCGUGAAGCAAUGGAAACUGCUAUUCUUGAGUGCAGGAGAGGAAAGUGGAAUUCCCAGUGUAGCGGUGAAAUGCGUAGAUAUUAGGAGGAACACCAGUGGCGAAGGCGACUUACUGGACUGUAACUGACGCUGAAGCACGAAAGCGUGGGGAGC
rnacentral:rRNA from 1 species